AGAACGAACGCUGGCGGCAGGCCUCAAACAUGCAAGUCUAGGGGGUGUAGCAAUACAUCACCGGCGGACGGGUGCGUAACGCGUGGGAAUGUACCUAUUGGUUCGGAACAACUGAGGGAAACUUCAGCUAAUACCGGAUGAGCCCGAAAGGGGAAAGAUUUCUCGCCAAUAGAUCAGCCCGCGUCCGAUUAGCUAGUUGGUGGGGUUAAAGCCUACCAAGGCGACGAUCGGUAGCUGUUCUGAGGGGAAGAUCAGCCACACUGGGACUGAGACACGGCCCAGACUCCUACGGGAGGCAGCAGUUGGGAAUCUUGGACAAUGGGGGAAACCCUGAUCCAGCCAUGCCGCGUGAGUGAUGAAGGCCUUCGGGUUGUAAAACUCUUUCGACGGGGACGAUAAUGACGGUACCCGUAGAAGAAGCUCCGGCUAACUUCGUGCCAGCAGCCGC
rnacentral:rRNA from 1 species